AUUGAACGCUGGCGGCAGGCCUAACACAUGCAAGUCGAACGGUAACAGGGAUCAGCUUGCUGAUUCGCUGACGAGUGGCGGACGGGUGAGUAAUGUCUGGGAAACUGCCUGAUGGAGGGGGAUAACUACUGGAAACGGUAGCUAAUACCGCAUAACGUCGCAAGACCAAAGAGGUGGACCUUCGGGCCUCUUGCCAUCGGAUGUGCCCAGAUGGGUUUAGCUAGUAGGUGGGGUAACGGCUCACCUAGGCUACGCUCCCUAGCUGGUCUGAGAGGAUGACCAGCCACACUGGAACUGUGACACGGUCCAGACUCCUACGGGAGGCAGCAGUGGGGAAUAUUGCACAAUGGGCGCAAGCCUGAUGCAGCCAUGCCGCGUGUAUGAAGAAGACCUUCGGGUUGUAAAGUACUUCCGGCGGGGAGGAAGGGAGUAAAGUUAAUACCUUUGCUCAUUGACGUUACCCGAAGAAGAAGCACCGGCUAACUCCGUG
rnacentral:rRNA from 1 species